rnacentral:rRNA from 1 species
UACGUAGGGGGCGAGCGUUGUCCGGAAUCAUUGGGCGUAAAGAGCUCGUAGGCGGCUUAGUAAGUCGGUCGUGAAAGCCCGAGGCUCAACUUCGGGACUGCGGUCGAUACUGCUAUAGCUAGAGUUUGGUAGAGGAGAACGGAAUUCCCGGUGUAGCGGUGGAAUGCGCAGAUAUCGAGAGGAACACCGGUGGCGAAGGCGGCUUCCUGGACAGUUACUGACGCUGAGACGCGAAAGCGUGGGGAGCAAACAGG